GACGAACGCUGGCGGUGUGCUUCACACAUGCAAGUCGAACGAGUGGCGGACGGGUGAGUAACAAGUGGGAAUCUACCAUUAGGUGGGGAAUAACAGGCCGAAAGGACUGCUAAUGCCGCAUACCUUUUGAUGAGCCCGCGUCCGAUUAGCUAGUUGGUAGGGUAAAAGCCUACCAAGGCGACGAUCGGUAGGUGGUCUGAGAGGAUGAUCACCCACAAUGGGACUGAGACACGGCCCAUACUCCUACGGGAGGCAGCAGUGGGGAAUUUUACGCAAUGGGGGAAACCCUGACGUAGCGACACCGCGUGAGCGAAGAAGGCCUUCGGGUUGUAAAGUACUUUCAGCGGGGAGGCGUUACCCGCAGAAGAAGCACCGGCUAACUCCGUGCCAGCAGCCGCGGUAAUAC
rnacentral:rRNA from 1 species